AAAUGCAAACCAUUUUACUGGUAGAAUACCUGCAUCCCUGGACACUUGAACAAGAAUCAUCUCUCAGGUCCAAUUCCACUGAGCCUUUUCAGCUCUAGCAUGAAUGUUAAACAUAUACUGCUUGACAGCAAUA